GGGAAAGUAGCUCAGUGGUAGAGCGCUUGCCUUGCAUGCAUGAGGUCCUGGGUUCGAUUCCUCAGCACCA
rnacentral:tRNA from 1 species